CCUGGCCUUGGGCCGCUCACGGGAGCUCGUCGCUUGCGACGGUGCUCUCGGGGGUGCUUAGCCCUUGAUCAUUACCUUGAUUAUACGCACCUUCGUUGUUCCCUCGGCAGUUCGCUGCCGCCAGGGACCCGUAAACCCUUUUGUAUAAGCAUUAAACGUCUGAAAACAAAUUUUAAUUAUUUA
rnacentral:misc_RNA from 1 species